rnacentral:rRNA from 1 species
GGGCCCGCACAAGCGGUGGAGUAUGUGGUUUAAUUCGAUGCAACGCGAAGAACCUUACCAGGGUUUGACAUCCUGCGAAUCUCUUGGAAACGAGAGAGUGCCUUCGGGAGCGCAGUGACAGGUGGUGCAUGGCUGUCGUCAGCUCGUGUCGUGAGAUGUUGGGUUAAGUCCCGCAACGAGCGCAACCCACGUCUCUAGUUGCCAGCGGGUAAUGCCGGGGACUCUAGAGAGACUGCCGGUGUCAAACCGGAGGAAGGUGGGGAUGACGUCAAGUCCUCAUGGCCUUUAUGUCUAGGGCUGCACACGUCCUACAAUGGUACGGACAAACGGACGCAAUACCGCGAGGUGGAGCAAAUCCUAGAAACCGUGCCUCAGUUCGGAUUGCAGGCUGCAACUCGCCUGCAUGAAGCCGGAAUCGCUAGUAAUCGCGUAAC